rnacentral:rRNA from 1 species
AUGGACCUACGGGGGGCAGCAGUGGGGGAUAUUGCACAAUGGGGGGAACCCUGAUGCAGCGACGCCGCGUGGGUGAAGAAGCGCCCCGGCGCGUAAAGCCCUGUCAGCAGGGAAGAAGAAGGACGGUACCUGACCAAGAAGCCCCGGCUAACUACGUGCCAGCAGCCGCGGUAAUACGUAGGGGGCAAGCGUUAUCCGGAUUUACUGGGUGUAAAGGGGGCGCAGACGGCGAUGCAAGCCAGGAGUGAAAGCCCGGGGCCCAACCCCGGGAC